rnacentral:rRNA from 1 species
UACGGAGGGGGCGAGCGUUAUUCGGAAUCAUUGGGCGUAAAGGGCGCGUAGGCGGCCACCGCAAGUCGACUGUGAAAUCUCCGGGCUUAACCCGGAAAGGUCAGCCGAUACUGCGGGGCUAGAGUGCAGAAGGGGCAACUGGAAUUCUCGGUGUAGCGGUGAAAUGCGUAGAUAUCGAGAGGAACACCUGCGGCGAAGGCGGGUUGCUGGGCUGACACUGACGCUGAGGCGCGAAAGCUAGGGGAGCGAACGGG